AACGAACGCUGGCGGCGUGUUUAAGACAUGCAAGUCGCACGGGAUUUUUUUGAGUAGCAAUACGAUGAAAAGUCCAGUGGCGCACGGGUGAGUAACACGUGAAUGACAUGCCCUUGAGAGGGGGAUAGCCCAGGGAAACUUGGAUUAAUACCCCAUGGUCUCGCGAGAGUAAAGGCGGCCGCAAGGCUGUCGCUCAAGGAUUGGUUCGCGGCCUAUCAGCUUGUUGGCGGGGUAACGGCCCACCAAGGCGACGACGGGUACCUGGUCUGAGAGGACGAUCAGGCACACUGGAACUGAGACACGGUCCAGACACCUACGGGUGGCAGCAGUCGAGAAUAAUUCACAAUGGGAGCAACCCUGAUGGUGCAACGCCGCGUGGAGGAUGAAGGUCUUCGGAUUGUAAACUCCUGUCAUCCGGGAGCAAGACCUGGCGGUUAACAGCCGACAGGGUUGAUAGUACCGGAAGAGGAAGGGACGGCUAACUUCGUGCCAGCAGCCGCCGCUG
rnacentral:rRNA from 1 species